rnacentral:rRNA from 1 species
CAACUUUUAACAACGGAUCUCUUGGUUCUCGCAUCGAUGAAGAACGUAGCAAAGUGCGAUAACUAGUGUGAAUUGCAUAUUCAGUGGAUCAUCGAGUCUUUGAACGCAACUUGCGCUCAUUGGUAUUCCAAUGAGCACGCCUGUUUCAGUAUCAAA